rnacentral:rRNA from 1 species
CAGUCGCCGCGGUAAUACGGAGGGCGCGAGCGUUACCAGGAUUUACUGGGCGUAAAGGGCGUGUAGGCGGCCUGGGGCGUCCCAUGUGAAAGGCCACGGCUCAACCGUGGAGGAGCGUGGGAUACGCUCAGGCUAGAGGGUGGGAGAGGGUGGUGGAAUUCCCGGAGUAGCGGUGAAAUGCGCAGAUACCGGGAGGAACGCCGAUGGCGAAGGCAGCCACCUGGUCCACUUCUGACGCUGAGGCGCGAAAGCGUGGGGAGCAAACCGGAUUAGAGACCCGUGUAGUCCCUGUCUCUUAUAC